UACGUAGGGGGCAAGCGUUGUCCGGAUUUAUUGGGCGUAAAGAGCGUGUAGGCGGCUUUGCAAGUCCGUUGUGAAAACUCGAGGCUCAACCUCGAGACGCCGGUGGAAACUGCAAAGCUAGAGUCCGGAAGAGGAGAGUGGAAUUCCUGGUGUAGCGGUGAAAUGCGCAGAUAUCAGGAAGAACACCCGUGGCGAAGGCGGCUAUCUGGACGGACACUGACGCUGAGACGCGAAAGCGUGGGGAGCAAACAGG
rnacentral:rRNA from 1 species